GUAGGUGGCAAGCGUUGUCCGGGAAUUAUUGGGGCGUAAAGCGCGCGCAGGCGGUUCUUUAAGUCUGAUGUGAAAGCCCACGGGCUCAACCGUGGAGGGUCAUUGGAAACUGGAGAACUUGAGUACAGAAGAGGAAAGCGGAAUUCCACGUGUAGCGGUGAAAUGCGUAGAGAUGUGGAGGAACACCAGUGGCGAAGGCGGCUUUCUGGUCUGUAACUGACGCUGAGGCGCGAAAGCGUGGGGAGCAAACAGGAUUAGAUACCCUGGUAGUCCACGCUGUAAACGAUGAGUGCUAAGUGUUAGGGGGUUUCCGCCCCUUAGUGCUGCAGCUAACGCAUUAAGCACUCCGCCUGGGGAGUACGGCCGCAAGGCUG
rnacentral:rRNA from 1 species